rnacentral:lncRNA from 1 species
CAGCAUACCCACCGCCUUAUGCAGCACCGUAUUCGUCGGCGGCGAGUACCGGAUAUUAUCCGCCACCGGCAGGCGGGUAUCCACCAUCCGCCUACCCACCUUCAGGAUACCCGCAGCCUGCUCCUACUGCGACGGGUUAUGGAUACCCACCAGCACAAGCAUACAGCGGUUACCCACCACCACCGCCUCAUGGAUAUGGGUACCCGCACCAACAGGGAUAUGGGUACCAGCCCCAACAGGGAUAUGGGUACCCACAGGUGCAACAAC